UUCAGAAUUUUUUAGCAUCCGUUCAUUUUCUCCUCCUGCAUAUAUAUACACAUAUGUAUAUAUCCUUGUAUUAACAUACUUUUUUUUCCCCUCUUGCUGGGUUGUUAAUGUUUUUAAUUUCCUGAUUCUUUCAGUUCAAUGCUAAAUUGGCAAGAGUCCAGAAUAAAACAACAAAGUCAUUUUCAGAUGCUUCUGUCUUGCCACAAAGUAUCUAUCGAAGGAAGUUGCAGCAUCUCCAGGAGGAGAAAAACAAGGAAAUUGAAAUUCUCCGAAACACCAUAAGAGACUUAGAGCAACGUCUUAAUAAAGGCCAGGACUUGCACUUCAAACGGAGGCGGUUUUGAGUAAAUAGCAUGAGGCGCUUCAGUAGUACAAAUGAUGAGAAACAGUGUAUUUCAAACCAAAAAAGUAAAGUGAAAGUAAAAACAACACAUGAAGAAAUACUGAAUACUUUUUAUUGAAAAUUCUCUUUCCAUAUAUUCCAAAAGUAGGCAUUCUGUUUAUAUCCAUACUACUUUCUUGCUAAUUAGCAUUCACCAUAAAAAGAUUCAGGUUUCGUAGGAGUAAGAGUUUUCCUAUUAAAUCAUCAUUAGUUAUGGUGUAUGCUUUCAAAGCAGCUUUCCUUUCUUGAACACUCACUUCAUCCAGGAAUCCUUUACACAACUGUGUCUGUAAUUCAACUUGGUUAAUCAAAAUUAGAGAAAGCUAAGCUACAAACAGAGAAAUUACACAAAUGUCAGUGGUAUAUUACCUUGCUAAUCAAUACAGAUUUAACAAAUUCAGUACUGUCAUAAACAAAGAUAAACAUUAAACCAAGAGUGAGUUUGUUCUGUCCCUUUCUGUUAAAAAUGUUGAUUCCACACAAAGAAUUGUUAACACUUCUCACUUCAGACAUGAUCUUAUUAAUCAUUCAGUGGGAUUUUACAAACUGUAGUAGAAUGCAUCAGUGGAUCCUGAUACUGCACCUAACCCACAAACGUAAAGCAUACAACUGUGAUUUUAAAAUAAUUCAAUUGUUGCUUGUAUCUUACACUUGAGAUAAAAAGUUAUUUUGGCACACUGUUUAGAAAUAAGCUUUUCUUGUACAUAAUUUGUAUCCCCAGGUCAGAAAAAGCUUUUGAGUAUAUUCUAUCUUAAUUAAAAAAAAAAAAAAA